rnacentral:rRNA from 1 species
UACGGGGGGGGCAAGCGUUGUUCGGAAUUACUGGGCGUAAAGGGCUCGUAGGUGGCCCCAUAAGUCAGACGUGAAAUCCCUCGGCUCAACCGAGGAACUGCGUCUGAUACUGGAUGGCUUGAGAUUGGGAGAGGGAUGCGGAAUUCCAGGUGUAGCGGUGAAAUGCGUAGAUAUCUGGAGGAACACCGGUGGCGAAGGCGGCAUCCUGGACCAACACUGACACUGAGGAGCGAAAGCCAGGGGAGCAAACGGG